rnacentral:rRNA from 1 species
CAGCAGCCACGGUAAUACAGAGGGUGCGAGCGUUAAUCGGAUUUACUGGGCGUAAAGCGUGCGUAGGCGGCUUUUAAGUCGGAUGUGAAAUCCCUGAGCUUAACUUAGGAAUUGCAUUCGAUACUGGGAAGCUAGAGUAUGGGAGAGGAUGGUAGAAUUCCAGGUGUAGCGGUGAAAUGCGUAGAGAUCUGGAGGAAUACCGAUGGCGAAGGCAGCCAUCUGGCCUAAUACUGACGCUGAGGUACGAAAGCAUGGGGAGCAAACAGGAUUAGAGACCCCCGUAGUCCCUGUCUCUUAUACA